GACAGAGGUGCCAAGCGUUAGGCGGAAUCACUGGGCUUAAAGCGGGUGUAGGCGGAUCGUUAAGUACCUUGUGAAAUCCCACGGCUUAACCGUGGAACUGCUCGGUAUACUGGCGGUCUUGAGCAACCUAGGGGCGAGCGGAACAAAUGGUGGAGCGGUGAAAUGCGUAGAUAUCAUUUGGAACGCCAAUGGUGAAAACAGCUCGCUGGGGGUUUGCUGACGCUGAGACACGAAAGCCAGGGGAGCAAACGGG
rnacentral:rRNA from 1 species